GUAUAAAUGUUAUACAGGCAUAAAGCCUUACUUUUUACAAAUACUUUAUUUGGAGUAUAGAGAAACAUAGACCUGAAAAAUAAAGAAAAAGCUGGCAUUUUUGCACAGCAAUUCCUCUGACCGAGGUUUAUUAUCCUCGAGGAGUCAUUCAGAUCUACACAAGGUGCACAGGUGGUUUAUAAAAGUGGAAUAGACGUGCACAUGCCUCGCAGAGCCAGCAACAGCCUAAACCAAGUUUAUUCAAUAAUGAUCCUUCCGCAGGUUCACCUACGGAAA
rnacentral:misc_RNA from 1 species